UCAACAAAUCAUUUAAAUAAUUCAAAUCAACAAAACUCAAACAAUGAAUCCAACAACAUUCAAAAUACUUAAACACUCCUAAAGAUUUUCACUAAUUAAAAGCUAAAUUCAAAAAUAUCUAAAAAUUAUCUAAAACUCAAGUCCAACAACACUAAGGAGUAGCCCCAACAAACUCCUCAUCACUCUUUGUUUCCUCUUUGCUACUUGAAUUAAGAGCAACGGCCUGUAUCAAGGCACGUCUAAGAUGUGCAAUCUGAUGUGACAUAGCAGCAUGUCUCUCAGAAAUUGAAGAAAUGGCAUGAUCAUGCUUUGCCAACCAGCAACACAUUGUCUAAAAAUCAAUUGACUAGUGCUAUAUGAUAAUAUAUAUAUAUAUAUAUUUGAUGCGGGAUACCACCUGUAAAUAACAUAAUAAGUACGUAAGCUUGAAUGUUUUAUUAAUGAAAAAAAUAAACCUAUCAAUUGAAAAAUAAACUUAUGAAGAUCUAUCAGGCUCGAUGAACACUCUACCAAGCAUGUCCGUAUCUCCAGGAACUAGACCAUUCAAAUCUGUAUCACUAUCUUCUUCUACAGGAGGAGGUGGAGGAGAAGGUAGAGGUGGAGGUGGAUGUGGUGGUGACUUGAUCAUUUUGAAGUCACUAGCACACAUUUCAAAAUACUACACUUAACUAUUUUCAAGUCAUGAAUUCACAUUUCAAGUGACAACGUAAACUAUUUUCAAGUCAUGAAUUGACAUUUCAAGUGACAACACUAAACCAAUUUCAAGUCAUGAAUUCACAUUUUCAAAUGAUUACACUUUGCUAAUUUCAAAACACAAGUUCAUCUUUCAAGUAACUUCAUUAAACCAUUUUCAAGUCACUAAUUUACUUCUCAAGUGACUACACUUGAUUAAGUUGAAGUCACUAGUACACAUUUAAAAACACUACACUUAACCAUUUUCAACUCUCUAAUUCACUUCUCAAUUAACUAAACUUAGCCAUUUUCAAGUCAUGAAUUCACAUUUCAAGUGACAAUACUAAAUCAAUUUCAAGUCAUGAAUUCACACUUUCAAGUGAUUACACUUUACUAAUUUUAAAAUACAAGUUCACCUUUCAAGUAACUACACUAAACCAUUUUCUAGUCCCUAAUCCACUUCUCAAGUGACUACACUUGAUCACUUUGAAGUACACAUUUCAAAACACUACACUUGACCAUUUUCAACUCUUUAAUUCACAUUUCAAGUGACUAAGCCUAACCAUUUUCAAGUCAUAAAUUCACAUUUCAAGUAUCAACGCUAAACCAAUUUCAAGUUAUGAAUUCACAUUUUUAAGUGAUUACACUUUACUAAUUUCAAAACACAAGUUCACCUUUCAAGAAAUAGACUAAACCAUUUUCAAGUCGCUAAUCCAAUUCUCAAGUGACUAGUAUACAUUUUAAAACAUUACACUUAACCAUUUUGAACUCUCUAAUUCACAUUUCAAGUGACUAAACUUAAUCAUUUUCAAUUCAUGAAUUCAUAUUUCAAGUAUCAGCACUAAACCAUUUUUAAGUGAUUACACAUAACUAAUUUCAAAACACAAGUUCACCUUUCAAGUAACUACACUAAACCAUUUUCCACUAAUCCACUUCUCAAGUGACUACACUUGAUCACUUUGAAGUCACUAGUACACAUUUCAAAACACUGCACUUGCCAUUUUCAACUCUCUAAUUUACAUUUCAAGUGACUAAGUCUAACCAUUUUCAAGUCAUGAAUUCACAUUUCAAGUGUCAACACUAAACCAAUUUCAAGUUAUGAAUUCACAUUUUCAAGUGAUUACACUUUACUAAUUUCAAAACAUAAGUUCGCCUUUCAAGUAACUACACUAAACCAUUUUCAAGUCACUAAUCCACUUCUCAAGUGACUAGUACACAUUUCAAAACAUUACACUUAACCAUUUUCAACUCUCUAAUUCACAUUUCAAGUGACUAAACUUAAUCAUUUUCAAGUCAUGAAUUUACAUUUCAAGUAUCAACACUAAACCAAUUUCAAGUAAUGAAUUCUCAUUUUCAAGUGAUCAGACUUAACUAAUUUCAAAACACAAGUUCACCAUUCAAGUAACUACACUAAACCAUUUUCAAGUAUGGCUAUAGUAGAGUUAUAUUAGAAGUUGAUUCUGAACUUCUAGUCAAGUGGCUCAAACGUGCUAUUACACCACCUUGGAGCAUUUGCAGGUACAUCGAGGAGCUUCAGCAUCUUACUAGUAUACUUGAUUGUUUCAGAUGUGUUCAUGUAUACAGGGAGAUAAAUUUCUCGGCAGAUGUGCUAUCUAACCAUAGCCAUGAUAUAGAUUCUAAUCAUUAUUAUUAUAGCUUUCACUAUCUUCCCUAGGAUACUAAAGGUUUCUUCACUCUUGAAAAGAUUGGUAUGUCCAAUUUUCAAAGAAGGAUGUUAAAGCGUAUCAAGAAACUACCCUAGAUGGAGUUGGACUUUCUUGUACUUGGUAUCUUCUAUUUUGUUUAUCUCACCUCAUCAACUUCAUCUCUGCUAUUCUCUUUAAUUUAUAGCCAUUAUGAAGUGGUUUAGUUUAGUUUAGUUUUGAUUUUCUUCUUACUUUGUAAGGGGAGAGUCUCCCUUAUUUCAGCUUUCCUAUAUUAUAUUGUACUGAGAGGAGUCCUCUCUUCUAAGUGCUUAGAUCUAGGUUCCAUUUCUGGUAUCGAAGAUGAGUUGACUGACCUUAGUAGGCUAGUUUACUUUGAACCACCAUAGGAUCGGAGGUAAGGUUUAUGUCCCCCUCUUUGUACUUUCUUGUUUUUUUACUUAUGAUAAGGAUUAGGGGUGUGCGGCUCAACCCCUAACCGCCACGGGAGGUGAGAGCCCCUGGUAAGGUCCGUUCUAGAAAAAAAGACUUGAUCACUUUGAAGUCACUAGUACAUAUUUCAAAACACUACACUUGACCAUUUUCAACUCUCUAAUUCACAUUUCAAGUGACUAAGCCUAAUAAUUUUCAAGUCAUGAAUGUAUAUUCAAGUGUCAACACUAAACCAAUUUCAAGUUAUGAAUUCACAUUUUCAAGUGAUUACACUUUACUAAUUUCAAAAUACAAGUUCAUCUUUCAAGAACUACACUAAACCAUUUUCAAGUCGCUAAUCCACUUCUCAAGUGACUAGUACAUAUUUCAAAAUUUGGUGAUCAACAGUGUUGAAAAUUUGGAAAAACAUUUUAAAAUUCUCAUGCUUGAGAUGUAUCAAAAAUAUUAUCUCUAACUACAAGGACACUUCACUAAUUGAAAUUUUGAUUGAAUCCUUCUAGUAUCAGCUAGAAGAAAAAAACAAGAGAAUUAAAUAAAGAGAUAAAAUUUAACACAAUAUAAUAUGACAGGAAGAAUUUAUCUUGAUGUAUCUUAAAAAUAAGAGAAGUACUACAAAUAUAUAUAGGUAAGAACAAGUGUGACCCCUCAAGAGUUUUUUUUUUUUUUUUUUUUUUUUGUUUGAUAUUUGUAUUGAAGUCUAAAUAUAUUCGCAUCACAUAUUACUAGACCUAUUUCAAAGCAGCACUCUUAACAUAAUUUUUUCUAUAUGAAAUGGUCAAACCUAAAUCCUCCAAAACCAUAUGAGUAAAAUAUAGGGAAAUAAAUUAAUUGCAAGUGUCACAUUAAAAAGGCAAUUCAAUUCAAGGAUGGCACCAUUUCUUCUCUAUUUUUAAGCAACAACACAAGUUUAUUCAUUUAUUAUGGGGAUUGAUAAUCAUAGGAGUAUCCUACUUUUGUCAUGACAGGAUCAUUAUCCCUUUCAUUUUUUUAAUUUGCAGAAUAAUUGUGGUGACUAUUAAUAUAAUAUUAUGUAAUAGCUAACGCAGGGGAAAAGAAUAAUAAGGAAGUAAUUAGUGAUUAGUGAGCUGACAGCCUUAGAAAUGUCUUUCAAUCACUUUCCUAGUAGUCUUUCCCCUUUACCUUUCCCACCUCACCAUCUACGUUUUAUUUCCUUAUUCAACUCUAAACCUUUAAGUUUAAUUCUUCUUCUUCUCUUUCUUAUCCAUCUUCUAGCUACUUCUUUCCUCAUUUUUUUCUUCUAAAUUCUACCUUUCAAUUCACAGUUAGCUAAAAAUGAUCGCUGACUAUUAAGGCUAUUCAAAAUUGCAAACAUUAAAAAUUAAUAAUUUAGCUCACCGGUGACGGAGAGAGCGGCGACAAUGGAUGUUUGAGAAGAAGAGACGGUGGCGAUGUUGGGCAGCUGCUGUUGAGGGAUGAAUAGAGGGAGGUGGAGCAGCGACGGAGGUCAGCGAGGUGGAGCGGCGAUGAAGGUCGAAAAUGGUUUUAUUUUAGAGAGAAGGUAGAGAAGAAAGGGUUUGUAGAAAGAGAGAGUGGAGAGGCGGGGAAG
rnacentral:lncRNA from 1 species